UUACAAACAACUCAGUGCAAAUUAGAUUCAGGAAAAAUAGAACAGACUAUAUCGAGCCAAGAGCAUUUUCAUUACAAUGGAAAAUGGUGGAUAGAAAACUCCACAAUCAAUUAUGUCCUUCAAGCGGCAGGUUGUAUCAGCCCUCACACCAUUUUCAGAUAUAAGAAGAACACGCCUCAUAAAAAUCCCCAUCAUACACCACUGAGGACCCAAAAGUGGUAAACACAAUCACUCAGCAUGUAAUACCCAACACUGACACAGUGAAGUUUCUAUUAAAAGAUUUCAAAUUUAAGUUAAUUUUGAAAAGAUAGCACUGCCGGACCCUCUCAACAAAGAAAAA
rnacentral:lncRNA from 1 species